ACAUGAUCAGUAAGUUAAAGUUGAUCUGCUGAAGGAACUGAGUGAUAUUGUGAAAUCUACGUAGUCGUUCCAGGGUUGUCUCCAGUUGAGGUCAAAAGUUGAGGUAAAACAUGAGUUGAAAGAAGACCUCACAGAGACGCCGUCAUGCUUCAUCAGCUUUAAGGAUCCUGAGAUAGAAAUGAGCCAAAGGAAACAGAGAAGUUGCUUGAUCUCCAUCAAACCAGAACACGACCAGGAGGAGGGUGGAGGGAAGCAUGCGGUAUUGGUAUUACUGCACAGCAAGAGAAAGAGAGGAUGAAGGAGUGUGAAGGAAUGCAGCUGUUCAAACAGCUCUUUGAUUUAGUGGUCACGGCGCCUGAUGUGACUCACUCUGGCUCAAGAAGCGUGGAGAUCACUCAGACGUUCAUCCCCCUGGUCCGGUGGUUUUCUGCCUCUGGGUGCGUUUGUAUGAGUGUGUGUGUCUGUGUGUUUGAAAAGGAGAGAGAGAGUUUUAGUGUGCACAGUAUCCACUGCACCUGAACCUGAUGACUUGCACAUAUUAAAUGCCCACAUGAUCUUUGUUUUUAAACAACACAUGAAGAGCAUCCUUGGGAUCUGACACAAAUGUUAAAAGUAUACCUCAUAAAACAUU